AUUGAACGCUGGCGGCAUGCUUUACACAUGCAAGUCGAACGGUAACAGGCCUUCGGGUGCUGACGAGCGGCGAACGGGUGAGUAAUGCAUCGGAACGUGCCCAGAGGUGGGGGAUAACGCAGCGAAAGCUGUGCUAAUACCGCAUGUGAUCUGAGGAUGAAAGCGGGGGACCAGGCAGCAAUGUUUGACCUCGCGCCUUUGGAGCGGCCGAUGUCAGAUUAGGUAGUUGGUGGGGUAAAGGCCUACCAAGCCGACGAUCUGUAGCUGGUCUGAGAGGACGACCAGCCACACUGGGACUGAGACACGGCCCAGACUCCUACGGGAGGCAGCAGUGGGGAAUUUUGGACAAUGGGCGCAAGCCUGAUCCAGCAAUGCCGCGUGCGGGAAGAAGGCCUUCGGGUUGUAAACCGCUUUUGUACGGAACGAAAAGGCUCUGGCUAAUACCUGGGGCUGAUGACGGUACCGUAAGAAUAAGCACCGGCUAACUACGUG
rnacentral:rRNA from 1 species